GGGCCGGGGGCGGCUGCGUCAUGACUCUGCCAGCUGAUCCGGGACGGAGCCGGCGCGGCGGGGGAGGCGGCGGCACCGGCACCGGGAACAGGGACCCGCCACGGCCCGGGCGGCACCGGUGGGACCGGACCCGCAGGAGGCUCCUGGCCCCUGGCCAGGUGGGACCCUGCCAGCGCCGAUGGAUGCCCGAGGUGCUUCCAUGCCCCCCCUGCUCCUGGCUAACCAGCACCAGUUCUUCAGUGGCAAGCUUUAUGUCCUUCUCCAGUAGCUAAAGCUGCCAGUUGAAGAACUGUUGAAUGUAGCCACUCUCUUCUUGUCACUGGGACCUUGGAUGCCAGCCAGACCCGCGCCCUGAGCGACCAGGAUGAGCCAGUCUGAAGUGUCCUGUGGAUGAGUCCAGCCGGGAUGAAGAAGUCUCCCCACAGCCUCCAGACAGAGCCUUGGCUGGGGGAUUGCCAGGCAGCCCUGUCAGCGGGGUCUCGCUGCAGUGGGGUGUCACUGAGCUGAGAGGAGACCAAAAGAGGCAUUAAACUUUCCUUUUCGCUCAACA